rnacentral:rRNA from 1 species
UACGUAGGGUGCGAGCGUUAAUCGGAAUUACUGGGCGUAAAGGGUGCGCAGGCGGUUCUGCAAGUCAGGCGUGAAAUCCCCGGGCUUAACCUGGGAAUGGCGCUUGAAACUACGGGACUGGAGUAUGGCAGAGGGAGGUGGAAUUCCACGUGUAGCGGUGAAAUGCGUAGAGAUGCGGAGGAACACCGAUGGCGAAGGCAGCCCCCUGGGCUAGCACUGACGCUCAGGCACGAAAGCGUGGGGAGCAAACAGG